rnacentral:rRNA from 1 species
UUAAGCGACUAAGCGUACACGGUGGAUGCCCUGGCAGUCAGAGGCGAUGAAGGACGUGCUAAUCUGCGAUAAGCGUCGGUAAGGUGAUAUGAACCGUUAUAACCGGCGAUUUCCGAAUGGGGAAACCCAGUGUGUUUCGACACACUAUCAUUAACUGAAUCCAUAGGUUAAUGAGGCGAACCGGGGGAACUGAAACAUCUAAGUACCCCGAGGAAAAGAAAUCAACCGAGAUUCCCCCAGUAGCGGCGAGCGAACGGGGAGCAGCCCAGAGCCUGAAUCAGUGUGUGUGUUAGUGGAAGCGUCUGGAAAGGCGCGCGAUACAGGGUGACAGCCCCGUACACAAAAAUGCACAUAUUGUGAGCUCGAUGAGUAGGGCGGGACACGUGGUAUCCUGUCUGAAUAUGGGGGGACCAUCCUCCAAGGCUAAAUACUCCUGACUGACCGAUAGUGAACCAGUACCGUGAGGGAAAGGCGAAAAGAACCCCGGCGAGGGGAGUGAAAAAGAACCUGAAACCGUGUACGUACAAGCAGUGGGAGCCUCUUUUAUGGGGUGACUGCGUACCUUUUGUAUAAUGGGUCAGCGACUUAUAUUCUGUAGCAAGGUUAACCGAAUAGGGGAGCCGAAGGGAAACCGAGUCUUAACUGGGCGUUAAGUUGCAGGGUAUAGACCCGAAACCCGGUGAUCUAGCCAUGGGCAGGUUGAAGGUUGGGUAACACUAACUGGAGGACCGAACCGACUAAUGUUGAAAAAUUAGCGGAUGACUUGUGGCUGGGGGUGAAAGGCCAAUCAAACCGGGAGAUAGCUGGUUCUCCCCGAAAGCUAUUUAGGUAGCGCCUCGUGAAUUCAUCUCCGGGGGUAGAGCACUGUUUCGGCAAGGGGGUCAUCCCGACUUACCAACCCGAUGCAAACUGCGAAUACCGGAGAAUGUUAUCACGGGAGACACACGGCGGGUGCUAACGUCCGUCGUGAAGAGGGAAACAACCCAGACCGCCAGCUAAGGUCCCAAAGUCAUGGUUAAGUGGGAAACGAUGUGGGAAGGCCCAGACAGCCAGGAUGUUGGCUUAGAAGCAGCCAUCAUUUAAAGAAAGCGUAAUAGCUCACUGGUCGAGUCGGCCUGCGCGGAAGAUGUAACGGGGCUAAACCAUGCACCGAAGCUGCGGCAGCGACACUAUGUGUUGUUGGGUAGGGGAGCGUUCUGUAAGCCUGUGAAGGUGUACUGUGAGGUAUGCUGGAGGUAUCAGAAGUGCGAAUGCUGACAUAAGUAACGAUAAAGCGGGUGAAAAGCCCGCUCGCCGGAAGACCAAGGGUUCCUGUCCAACGUUAAUCGGGGCAGGGUGAGUCGACCCCUAAGGCGAGGCCGAAAGGCGUAGUCGAUGGGAAACAGGUUAAUAUUCCUGUACUUGGUGUUACUGCGAAGGGGGGACGGAGAAGGCUAUGUUGGCCGGGCGACGGUUGUCCCGGUUUAAGCGUGUAGGCUGGUUUUCCAGGCAAAUCCGGAAAAUCAAGGCUGAGGCGUGAUGACGAGGCACUACGGUGCUGAAGCAACAAAUGCCCUGCUUCCAGGAAAAGCCUCUAAGCAUCAGGUAACAUCAAAUCGUACCCCAAACCGACACAGGUGGUCAGGUAGAGAAUACCAAGGCGCUUGAGAGAACUCGGGUGAAGGAACUAGGCAAAAUGGUGCCGUAACUUCGGGAGAAGGCACGCUGAUAUGUAGGUGAAGUCCCUCGCGGAUGGAGCUGAAAUCAGUCGAAGAUACCAGCUGGCUGCAACUGUUUAUUAAAAACACAGCACUGUGCAAACACGAAAGUGGACGUAUACGGUGUGACGCCUGCCCGGUGCCGGAAGGUUAAUUGAUGGGGUUAGCGCAAGCGAAGCUCUUGAUCGAAGCCCCGGUAAACGGCGGCCGUAACUAUAACGGUCCUAAGGUAGCGAAAUUCCUUGUCGGGUAAGUUCCGACCUGCACGAAUGGCGUAAUGAUGGCCAGGCUGUCUCCACCCGAGACUCAGUGAAAUUGAACUCGCUGUGAAGAUGCAGUGUACCCGCGGCAAGACGGAAAGACCCCGUGAACCUUUACUAUAGCUUGACACUGAACAUUGAGCCUUGAUGUGUAGGAUAGGUGGGAGGCUUAGAAGUGUGGACGCCAGUCUGCAUGGAGCCGACCUUGAAAUACCACCCUUUAAUGUUUGAUGUUCUAACGUGGACCCGUGAUCCGGGUUGCGGACAGUGUCUGGUGGGUAGUUUGACUGGGGCGGUCUCCUCCUAAAGAGUAACGGAGGAGCACGAAGGUUGGCUAAUCCUGGUCGGACAUCAGGAGGUUAGUGCAAUGGCAUAAGCCAGCUUGACUGCGAGCGUGACGGCGCGAGCAGGUGCGAAAGCAGGUCAUAGUGAUCCGGUGGUUCUGAAUGGAAGGGCCAUCGCUCAACGGAUAAAAGGUACUCCGGGGAUAACAGGCUGAUACCGCCCAAGAGUUCAUAUCGACGGCGGUGUUUGGCACCUCGAUGUCGGCUCAUCACAUCCUGGGGCUGAAGUAGGUCCCAAGGGUAUGGCUGUUCGCCAUUUAAAGUGGUACGCGAGCUGGGUUUAGAACGUCGUGAGACAGUUCGGUCCCUAUCUGCCGUGGGCGCUGGAGAACUGAGGGGGGCUGCUCCUAGUACGAGAGGACCGGAGUGGACGCAUCACUGGUGUUCGGGUUGUCAUGCCAAUGGCACUGCCCGGUAGCUAAAUGCGGAAGAGAUAAGUGCUGAAAGCAUCUAAGCACGAAACUUGCCCCGAGAUGAGUUCUCCCUGACCCUUUAAGGGUCCUGAAGGAACGUUGAAGACGACGACGUUGAUAGGCCGGGUGUGUAAGCGCAGCGAUGCGUUGAGCUAACCGGUACUAAUGAACCGUGAGGCUUAACCUU